CCUACGGGAGGCAGCAGUGAGGAAUAUUGCACAAUGGGCGAGAGCCUGAUGCAGCCACGCAGCGUGAAGGAAGACGGCUCUCGGGGUUUAAAACUCUUUUUAUAGUGGAGAAAAGUGAGGCUAGUGAGUCUUCUUGAUUGUACUGUAUGUAUUUGGAUCGGCUAACUACGCGCCAGCAGCCCCGGUAAUACGGAGGAUCCGAGCGUUAUCCGGAUUUAUUGGGUUUAAAGGGAGCGUAGAUGGGUUGUUAAGUCAGUUGUGAAAGUUUGCGGCUCAACCGUAAAAUUGCAAUUGAUACUGGUAGCCUUGAGUGCAGUAGAGGUGGGCGGAAUUCGUGGUGUAGCGGUGAAAUGCUUAGAUAUCACGAAGAACACCGGUUGCGAAGGCAGCUUACUGGUCUGCCACUGACGCUGAUGCUCGAAAGUGUGGGUAGCAAACAGGAUUAGAUACCCUAGUAGUC
rnacentral:rRNA from 1 species